rnacentral:ncRNA from 1 species
CUGCGUCCGACCACGUACGGGGCCCGUCCACGUCCGCCUCGGCGGCCGGAUGCAAGGGCCCGCGAUGGCACGGUAGGGUGAGUGGGAGCACGCUCAUG